rnacentral:rRNA from 1 species
UACGGAGGAUACGAGCGUUAUCCGGAUUUAUUGGGUUUAAAGGGUGCGUAGGCGGGCUUUUAAGUCAGCGGUAAAAAUUCGGGGCUCAACCCCGUCCGGCCGUUGAAACUGGGGGUCUUGAGUGGGCUAGAAGAAGGCGGAAUGCGUGGUGUAGCGGUGAAAUGCAUAGAUAUCACGCAGAACCCCGAUUGCGAAGGCAGCCUUCCGGCGCCCUACUGACGCUGAGGCACGAAAGUGCGGGGAUCGAACAGG